rnacentral:rRNA from 1 species
AGAAUGAACGCUGGCGGCGUGCCUAACACAUGCAAGUCGAACGAGAAAGUGGAGCAAUCCAUUAGUAAAGUGGCGCACGGGUGAGUAACACGUGACUAACCUACCCUUGAGUGGGGGAUAACCUAGAGAAAUCUGGGCUAAUACCGCAUAAUACCUUCGGGUCAAAGGAGCAAUUCGCUUAAGGAGGGGGUCGCGGCCGAUUAGUUAGUUGGCGGGGUAAUGGCCCACCAAGACUAUGAUCGGUA